rnacentral:antisense_RNA from 1 species
CACCCGCAGCGGCAAGCGUCGACAAAGGGGGGCGCGGCCGGAAUUGGAACAGGGCUGGCCAAGCACGCUGCGGGGAAGCACGGGGCCGGAUGUCGGGGGACAUCCGGCCCCAUCUUU